UACGAAGGGGGCUAGCGUUGUUCGGAAUCACUGGGCGUAAAGCGCUUGUAGGCGGAUCGUUAAGUCAGGGGUGAAAUCCCGAGGCUCAACCUCGGAACUGCCUUUGAUACUGGCGAUCUUUGAGUCCGGGAGAGGUGAGUGGAACUCCGAGUGUAGAGGUGAAAUUCGUAGAUAUUCGGAAGAACACCAGUGGCGAAGGCGGCUCACUGGCCCGGUACUGACGCUGAGGCGCGAAAGCUAGGGGAGCAAACGGG
rnacentral:rRNA from 1 species